rnacentral:rRNA from 1 species
AUUGAACGCUGGCGGCAGGCUUAACACAUGCAAGUCGAGCGGAGAUGAGGUGCUUGCACCUUAUCUCAGCGGCGGACGGGUGAGUAAUGCUUAGGAGUCUGCCUAUUAGUGGGGGACAACAUUCCGAAAGGAAUGCUAAUACCGCAUACGUCCUACGGGAGAAAGCAGGGGAUCUUCGGACCUUGCGCUAAUAGAUGAGCCUAAGUCGGAUUAGCUAGUUGGUGGGGUAAAGGCCUACCAAGGCGACGAUCUGUAGCGGGUCUGAGAGGAUGAUCCGCCACACUGGGACUGAGACACGGCCCAGACUCCUACGGGAGGCAGCAGUGGGGAAUAUUGGACAAUGGGGGAAACCCUGAUCCAGCCAUGCCGCGUGUGUGAAGAAGGCCUUAUGGUUGUAAAGCACUUUAAGCGAGGAGGAGGCUACUGAGACUAAUACUCUUGGAUAGUGGACGUUACUCGCAGAAUAAGCACCGGCUAACUCUGUGCCAGCAGCCGCGGUAA